UACGUAGGGUGCGAGCGUUGUCCGGAAUUAUUGGGCGUAAAGGGCUCGUAGGCGGUCUGUUGCGUCAGGAGUGAAAACUCGGGGCUUAACCCCGAGCCUGCUUCUGAUACGGGCAGACUAGAGGUAUGCAGGGGAGAACGGAAUUCCUGGUGUAGCGGUGAAAUGCGCAGAUAUCGGGAAGAACACCCGUGGCGAAGGCGGCUCUCUGGAACGCAACUGACGCUGAGACGCGAAAGCGUGGGGAGCGAACAGG
rnacentral:rRNA from 1 species